rnacentral:rRNA from 1 species
UACGUAGGGUGCGAGCGUUGUUCGGAAUUACUGGGCGUAAAGAGCUCGUAGGCGGUCUGUUGCGUCUGCUGUGAAAACUCGGGGCUUAACCCCGGGCCUGCAGUGGGUACGGGCAGACUAGAGUGCGGUAGGGGAGACUGGAAUUCCUGGUGUAGCGGUGAAAUGCGCAGAUAUCAGGAGGAACACCGGUGGCGAAGGCGGGUCUCUGGGCCGUAACUGACGCUGAGGAGCGAGAGCGUGGGGAGCGAACAGG